CUGGCUCAGGAUGAACGCUGGCGGCGUGCUUAACACAUGCAAGUCGAACGGAGUUUAGAUGAAAGCUUGCUUUGACUAAACUUAGUGGCGGACGGGUGAGUAACGCGUGGGUAACCUGCCUUAUACAGGGGGAUAACAGUCGGAAACGACUGCUAAUACCGCAUAAGCGCACGGAAUCGCAUGAUUCAGUGUGAAAAAGAUUUAUCGGUAUAAGAUGGACUCGCGUCCGAUUAGCUUGUUGGCGGGGUAACGGCCCACCAAGGCGACGAUCGGUAGCCGGACUGAGAGGUUGAACGGCCACAUUGGGACUGAGACACGGCCCAGACUCCUACGGGAGGCAGCAGUGGGGGAUAUUGCGCAAUGGGGGCAAAACCCCCUGACGCAGCAACGCCGCGUGAAGGAUGAAGGUUUCGGAUUGUAAACUUCUUUUGUCAGGGACGAAAUUUGACGGUACCUGACGAAUAAGCUCCGGCUAACUACGUGCCAGCCGCCGC
rnacentral:rRNA from 1 species